rnacentral:rRNA from 1 species
UACGUAGGUGGCAAGCGUUGUCCGGAAUUAUUGGGCGUAAAGCGCGCGCAGGCGGUCCUUUAAGUCUGAUGUGAAAGCCCACGGCUCAACCGUGGAGGGUCAUUGGAAACUGGGGGACUUGAGUGCAGGAGAGAAGAGUGGAAUUCCACGUGUAGCGGUGAAAUGCGUAGAGAUCCGGAGGAACCCCAGAGGCGAAGGCGGCGCCCUAGCUCGGUUCUGACGCUCAGACACGAAAGCAUUGGGAGCGAACGGG